rnacentral:sRNA from 1 species
AUGGACACCCAGCCUCCUCCUCCCCCGCUCCUUCCUCUGUGCAGUGCUGCAGCCAGGCCGCAUCUUGCUGUGGUUUGGAACCUUCUUGUGUCCUGUUCAACUCAGAAACCCCACAGAUUCUUGCUUUUCUGCAGACUUGGCCUCUAGGUUGGCUGGGUUGCAGAGUAGUCUUGCUUCUAGGUUGUCAUGAGCUGUGUGGCUUCCAGAGCUCUGGGGAUAGGAAACAGACCCUCCUUAGAGGUAGAGCCCAGGCCUGGCCCUGCCUGAGCCACAGAGGUGGCCAGGAGCGUUCAGGAGGGUAGAGUUUGCUGCCCGCAAGUCUUGCUUGUGAAACUCUGAAUUAGGGAAUUAGGGCACAGUCUGAAUUGAGGGCAGUAUGCGACCACCGCUCCGUGUCCUCCUUUACAGAAACAGUCCUACUUCUCCACUGGCAUCCUCUUGAGGGAGGCACAGCUGGAAACCCAGCACCUCCCUGCACCAGCUCAGGGCUGCCUGGUCAGCUGCUGGCCGCAGCCCCCUAGGCCCACUCACUGUCGCCGGCCCUGCAUGCCCCCGGCCAGACAGCUGUCGCCAGCCUCCUGAUUCAGGAGGAGCCCUUUGUGCCUUCGAGGAACGGUUCGCUAGCCGCUUUGCUUGCAGCCUACUUUUCCCAUCAGAGGCGCCUGGCCCUGCCCGCCAGUUCUCAGGCCCAUCCUAUCUCUGUCCACAGUGCCCUCGGCCAGCAUGACCCGCCUGGCACGCUCCCGCACUGCAUCCCUCACCAGUGCCAGCUCGGUGGAUGGCAGCCGCCCACAGGCCUGCACCCACUCGGAGAGCAGCGAGGGGCUGGGCCAGGUCAACCACACCAUGGAGGUGUCCUGUUGAAGCCCGCGAUCCCGCUGACGACGCCCACGUCGAGGCCCCACCGCCAUCCUUGCGCCGGCUCAUGUUCCCUUUAGUUUAUUUUUGUGAGGGCAAAGGGGAGGAAAUGGGGUUCUGUUUGAAAAAAAUGAGGGGAUCUAUCUUAGAUGCUGCAGCAGAACAGUCUCCGGGUGUUUUGAGGGGCUCACUCCUCCUCAUCCCAUCUCACUCUCCGUGGUAACUUGACCCCUCUCAUCCCACUCCCUGCGGCCCAGGCACAGGAGGGCAGGGCCAUAGGGAGGGAGAUUCGCUACGGAUCCAGGCCAUUCCUGGGUGAGCCCUCGGGCAGGCAUGUUUGGAGAUGAGAGAGGCUUCGAGAGGGUGGGUGCGGGGCCAGCUCAGGCACUGGCGUGGGAGCCCUGGGAGACCCCUUCCCCCACCCUCCACCAAGCACACCUGUUUCUGUCUCAUAGCACAUGUGACAAUCAUCUGGACAACAGCCACAAGGGGGUGCUCGGACCAGGCAGCCACUUUCCUGGUGCUCUCUGGGCCCAGCUGGUGCUGUAGGGCUAGGCAGGCAGGGGUGUCAAGGGGUUUCUCUGCCCAAGGAAGACAGAACAUGGAGAACCGUGAGGGCAGGAACCCCACAGACUGUCCCUUCCAGCCCACACUCUGCUAUCUCCUGGCCCUGUCCCAUUUCUGAGCCAAGGCCUCCCCGAGGCAGAAGUUGCCUGGUCCUCUGUCCCCACAGUGACCUGACUGGGGGUGAGGGAGGAGGAGGAGAGAGCCCAUGUGUGAUGUGUGUGUGCCCCUGAGAACUUCGUGGUGACUGCCUUUGGGAGCCCGCAGGUGGCCAGAGGCAGGGGUAGCUGAGUUCCUGGAGACCCCUUUUUUGCCCCCAGGUUCCCAAGAGGGCAACGCCAUCAGUAGCAGUAUGGUGUUUCAGGCAGAGCUCUGGCCAGGCUGUGCCAGUGUGUCCCGGAAGCAUCACUAAGGAAGACAGAGUUUUAGUCAACUGGCCCAAGGCAGCGAGGCUUCCACAGUCCCACCCCCCAUAGCCGCCUGGGCUGGGGCUUACUGGGGGCUGAAUGUUCUGGACAUGAACAAGGGUCAGGUAGAGGAGAAAGGCUUCCCCUACACUGCAGCCUCCUGCUGUCCCCUGAAGCUCAGGACUGCGAUGUAUGCUUUCCAACCACUCACCUUACCCCAUAGCAUCUUGUGGCCCAGAAACCAGAGCCAUUUGUCUCGGACCCUAAAUCAAUGGUCACAAACCCCAAAACAGAGAGGGGAGAGAACAGUGAAAACAUGAAGGGCUGUGGAGGGGGGAAGGGUUGUGGCGGGUGUUCUGAGGCUGAGAGGACACCUAUAUGCGUAUUUCCUCUACACACAUCACCCCCCUUCUAUAAUCUUAAGCCAUGACUAGCCUGGUGGCGUGUUAGUUUCUGCCCAGUUCUACCCCCUCAUGUGCUUCUUCUGAAUACUGAAUGUGACUGUUUGAAAACUGGUAGAAUUCAUCCCUCUUACUGUAGAUAGCACUGCAAAUCUUGGAAUUUUGUUUUUUUGCUGUUUCCAGAUAUAUCUAUCUAUAAAUAUCUAUACAUUAUAUAUAUAUGUGUGUGUGUGUGUACAUCGGGUCCUCCCAUGUAUGGUGUUCCUCCAGAGAUUGUCUCUUUGGUCAAGGUGAACUUUUAAUGUUUAUUAUUUUCUUCUCCGCACAAAGUAAAGAGCCUAAUUUUGUGUAUUCUGGUGGCUGCUGUCAUGAGAUGACAAAAUGUAAAACAAAACUCUAGUCAACGUAGAAAGAGUUAACUGUGCUGAAAAACUAAUAAAGAACCUAAG